AAUAGAAGAGGAUUCAUUUGGAUAAAGUCCCAAAUCCUAACUGCGGCAGUAUUAGCUACUGGGUUAGCCGAAACAGUAGCUGACUGAGUAUUCUGAGCCACUACAGAGUGAGAUAGAGUAGUGAAUGCAACUCUAACAAGAGAAACAUGCUAAUUCAGGGGAUCUUCCUGAAAGGGUGGAGGUGCUGGAUGUUUAAUAUUUCUUUUUUCGUUUGUCUUUAUAGGAG
rnacentral:lncRNA from 1 species